rnacentral:rRNA from 1 species
ACGAACGCUGGCGGCGUGCUUAACACCUGCAAGUCGAACGGAAAGGCCCCUUUGGGGGUACUCGAGUGGCGAACGGGUGAGUAACACGUGAGUAACCUGCCCUUGACUUCGGGAUAACUUCAGGAAACUGGGGCUAAUACCGGAUAGGAAUCCUUGCUGCAUGGUUGGGGUUGGAAAGCUUCGGCGGUUUUGGAUGGACUCGCGGCUUAUCAGCUUGUUGGUGGGGUAGUGGCUUACCAAGGCUUUGACGGGUAGCCGGCCUGAGAGGGCGACCGGCCACAUUGGGACUGAGAUACGGCCCAGACUCCUACGGGAGGCAGCAGUGGGGAAUAUUGCACAAUGGGCGGAAGCCUGAUGCAGCAACGCCGCGUGCGGGAUGACGGCCUUCGGGUUGUAAACCGCUUUCAGCAGGGGCGAAGCUUGUGGUGACGGUACCUGCAGAAGAAGCACCGGCUAACUACGUG